rnacentral:misc_RNA from 1 species
AACAAGGCGUACCUGCGGACCUGCGGAGGGAUCAUUACCGAGUUUACAACUCCCAAACCCCUGUGAACAUACCUAUACGUUGCCUCGGCGGAUCAGCCCGCGCCCUGUAAAACGGGACGGCCCGCCCGAGGACCCUAAACUCUGUUUUUAGUGGAACUUCUGAGUAAAACAAACAAAUAAAUCAAAACUUUUAACAACGGAUCU